rnacentral:rRNA from 1 species
UACGUAGGGUGCGAGCGUUAAUCGGAAUUACUGGGCGUAAAGCGUGCGCAGGCGGCGCGUUAAGACAGGUGUGAAAGCCCCGAGCUUAACUUGGGAAUUGCGCUUGUGACUGGCGUGCUGGAGUGUGGCAGAGGGAGGUGGAAUUCCACGUGUAGCAGUGAAAUGCGUAGAGAUGUGGAGGAACACCGAUGGCGAAGGCAGGUCUCUGGGCAUUAACUGACGUGAGGAGCGAAAAGCAUGGGGGAGCGAACAG